rnacentral:rRNA from 1 species
CCUACGGGAGGCAGCAGUGAGGAAUAUUGGUCAAUGGACGAGAGUCUGAACCAGCCAAGUAGCGUGAAGGAUGACUGCCCUAUGGGUUGUAAACUUCUUUUAUAAAGGAAUAAAACGAGGCACGUGUGCCUUUUUGCAUGUACUUUAUGAAUAAGGAUCGGCUAACUCCGUGCCAGCAGCCGCGGUAAUACGGAGGAUCCGAGCGUUAUCCGGAUUUAUUGGGUUUAAAGGGAGCGUAGAUGGGUUGUUAAGUCAGUUGUGAAAGUUUGCGGCUCAACCGUAAGAUUGCAAUUGAUACUGGCAGUCUAGAGUACAGUUGAGGUAAGCGGAAUUCGUGGUGUAGCGGUGAAAUGCUUAGAUAUCACGAAGAACCCCGAUUGCGAAGGCAGCUUACUAAACUGUGACUGACAUUGAUGCACGAAAGUGUGGGUAUCAAACAGGAUUAGAUACCCUUGUAGUC